UACGUAGGUGGCAAGCGUUGUCCGGAUUUACUGGGUGUAAAGGGCGUGUAGCCGGGCUGACAAGUCAGAUGUGAGAUCCGGGGGCUCAACCCCCGAACUGCAUUUGAAACUGUUGGUCUUGAGUAUCGGAGAGGCAGGCGGAAUUCCUAGUGUAGCGGUGAAAUGCGUAGAUAUUAGGAGGAACACCAGUGGCGAAGGCGGCCUGCUGGACGACAACUGACGGUGAGGCGCGAAAGCGUGGGGAGCAAACAGG
rnacentral:rRNA from 1 species